rnacentral:rRNA from 1 species
UACGAAGGGUGCUAGCGUUGCUCGGAAUCACUGGGCGUAAAGGGUGCGUAGGCGGGUCUUUAAGUCAGGGGUGAAAUCCUGGAGCUCAACUCCAGAACUGCCUUUGAUACUGAAGAUCUUGAGUUCGGGAGAGGUGAGUGGAACUGCGAGUGUAGAGGUGAAAUUCGUAGAUAUUCGCAAGAACACCAGUGGCGAAGGCGGCUCACUGGCCCGAUACUGACGCUGAGGCACGGAAGCGUGGGGAGCAAACAGG